rnacentral:rRNA from 1 species
AUUGAACGCUGGCGGCAUGCUUUACACAUGCAAGUCGAACGGUAACAUGAAGAAGCUUGCUUCUUUGAUGACGAGUGGCGAACGGGUGAGUAAUGUAUCGGAACGUGCCCAGUAGUGGGGGAUAACUACUCGAAAGAGUGGCUAAUACCGCAUGAGAUCUCUGGAUGAAAGUGGGGGACCGCAAGGCCUCACGCUACUGGAACGGCCGAUAUCAGAGUAGGUAGUUGGUGGGGUAAAGGCCCACCAAGCCUGCGAUCUGUAGCUGGUCUGAGAGGACGACCAGCCACACUGGGACUGAGACACGGCCCAGACUCCUACGGGAGGCAGCAGUGGGGAAUUUUGGACAAUGGGCGCAAGCCUGAUCCAGCAAUGCCGCGUGCAGGACGAAGGCCUUCGGGUUGUAAACUGCUUUUGUACAGAACGAAAAGGCUCUGGUUAAUACCCGGGGCUCAUGACGGUACUGUAAGAAUAAGCACCGGCUAACUACGUGCCAGCCGCCGCGGUAA